GAACUGCGAUAAGUAAUGUGAAUUGCAGAAUUCAGUGAAUCAUCGAGUCUUUGAACGCACAUUGCGUCCCCUGGCAUUCCGGGGGGCAUGCCUGUCCGAGCGUCAUUGCUGCCCUUCAAGCCCGGCUUGUGUGUUGGGUCGUCGUCCCCUCCGGGGGACGGGCCCGAAAGGCAUCGGCGGCACCGCGUCCGGUCCUCGAGCGUAUGGGGCUUUGUCACCCGCUCGAUAAGGACCGGCCGGGCGCCAGCCGGCGUCUCCAACCUUUUUUUCUCAGGUUGACCUCGGAUCAGGUAGGGAUACCCGCUGAACUUAAGC
rnacentral:misc_RNA from 1 species